rnacentral:rRNA from 1 species
UACGUAGGGGGCAAGCGUUGUCCGGAUUCAUUGGGCGUAAAGAGCGUGUAGGCGGCCAGGUAGGUCGGUUGUGAAAACUGGAGGCUCAACCUUCAGAGGUCGACCGAAACCAUCUGGCUAGAGUCCGGGAGAGGAGAGUGGAAUUCCUGGUGUAGCGGUGAAAUGCGCAGAUAUCAGGAAGAACACCGGUGGCGAAGGCGGUUCUCUGGGCCUUACCUGACGCUGAGGAGCGAAAGCGUGGGGAGCGAACAGG